rnacentral:rRNA from 1 species
GAUGAACGCUGGCGGCGUGCCUAAUACAUGCAAGUCGAGCGAACGGACGAGAAGCUUGCUUCUCUGAUGUUAGCGGCGGACGGGUGAGUAACACGUGGAUAACCUACCUAUAAGACUGGGAUAACUUCGGGAAACCGGAGCUAAUACCGGAUAAUAUUUUGAACCGCAUGGUUCAAAAGUGAAAGACGGUCUUGCUGUCACUUAUAGAUGGAUCCGCGCUGCAUUAGCUAGUUGGUAAGGUAACGGCUUACCAAGGCAACGAUGCAUAGCCGACCUGAGGGGGUGAUCGGCCACACUGGAACUGAGACACGGUCCAGACUCCUACGGGAGGCAGCAGUGGGGAAUCUUCCGCAAUGGGCGAAAGCCUGACGGAGCAACGCCGCGUGAGUGAUGAAGGUCUUCGGGUCGUAAAACUCUGUUAUUAGGGAAGAACAUAUGUGUAAGUAACUGUGCACAUCUUGACGGUACCUAAUCAGAAAGCCACGGCUAACUACGUG